rnacentral:rRNA from 1 species
UACAGAGGUCUCAAGCGUUGUUUCGGAUUCAUUGGGGCGUAAAAGGGUGCGUAGGUGGCGCGGUAAGUCGGGUGUGAAAUUCGAUGCUUUAACUCCGAAACUGCAUUCGAUACUGCCGUGCUUGAGGACUGGAGAGGAGACUGGAAAUUUUACGGGUGUAGCGGUGAAAAAUGCGUAGAUAUCGUAAAGGGAAAGAACCCGGUGGCGAAAGGCGGG